UACGGAGGGUGCAAGCGUUGCUCGGAAUUAUUGGGCGUAAAGGGUAGGUAGGUGGUCUCAUUUGUCUGGGGUGAAAUCCUUGGGCUUAACUCAAGAAGUGCCCCAGAAACGGUGAGACUAGAGUAUUGGAGAGGGUCGUGGAAUUCCCGGUGUAGCGGUGAAAUGCGUAGAGAUCGGGAGGAACACCAGAGGCGAAGGCGGCGACCUGGACAAUUACUGACACUCAACUACGAAAGCAUGGGUAGCAAACAGG
rnacentral:rRNA from 1 species